CCCGUUGAACUCGAUUAUCCGUAGUGGAGACACUCACCAGCAGGUGGCCGGUAACGGUUCGCUGCUGGGCACUUGUCUCCACGCACGCGGACAUUGCGAUCCAUUACGAACGGAGCGCUCCCUCGGAGCGCAAAAGCCCGGCAAUUGCCCCCUGGUGCGGUGGCUAGUCCCACAGUAGUGACACUCAGCUCCGAAGGCCUGUGUCACGAGCCGGGGCUUACCGCACGUGGUGUGCAGCCGGGCGCGUGAUGGAUUCAACCAGUACACCGUAGCGGUGGUGGAUCCCUCGCGGACACCACCGACACCACCUCGGUGGACGGAUUGUCGAUCGGCAAUGAGCGAAUCGAGGCACCUUCGGG
rnacentral:rRNA from 1 species